AGCGGUAGCGGGCCGGGCAGCGGCCCCCGGCGGGACCCUCGGGCCGGGGCCGGAGGGGAAAGCCAGGCGUGAACGGAGGAGCCUCUAUGAGCGCCCCGGUAGGCACGCUUGAGCCCGAUUUACCGGCAACCCGCCUUUGCCUCACCAGAGGUGUCCUUGACAGGGUUAGUGGGAAAAUAUAUGGCUUUUAGUUAAAAUAAGCAGCUCGGGCAUAUUUCAGCUGCUCUCCAGACUUCUCCCCGGUGGUAAACCCACACCAGCUGGAAAGAAGGUGAAAAAGGAUCAGGGUGAACACGAUCCAAAUAGGAUUUAACAGCUAGAAGAAAUGUGGCACACGGCAAGAGAAAGCUUGUUAGGACUCCUGUGUUCCUAUGAGCUUGGAUGAACACCUUCUAGUAGUUUGUGACCUUACAGUGAUGGAUGUCCUGCUUGCAUGAGGAGGAUGCUGUGAAGAGGCAUAAUCACCAAUAAAUUCAAAGCAACAUGUAUAGAG